GCCACAGGAGCUCCCACAGCUUUCCUUGAAAUAAGAGCAUCACCAACAGCUGGAAAAGGAAAAGCAGGAAAACUGCUCCUAGGCUGCCUGGUGAAUGAUUGCGCUUGCGGAAUUGCUGCCAUCAGUGGAAAGUGCAAGACUGCUCUGGGGAUGACCUGCAGGUCAAGAGCUGGAUGUGGAGAAGGAAUCUUAUAGUUCAUAAACAAGAUCAUAAGAGAACAACAUGUCUUGAUACCACUUCUACUGAGG